AGAGCGCGCGCUUUUUCCUGUGUUGCAUCCACACUGCUUGAAGUUUUGGAUCUGGCUUGCGCGAUCUUGCAGAAUCCUGGGCUUUGCAGAUCCGGCCAUGGCGAGGUUGCAAGCAGCGGAAUUCCCUGGAUGUAAUAAUAAAAGUGGAACAAGGAGAGGAGCAGUGGCUGUCAGGAAACGCGGAACAAGAAAGGGUAGCAUUGCUCUCACCUCGCCAAGAAAGGGAAACUACAGUGGAUAACACUCCAGUUUCCUGCUGUGAUAAUAAAGAAGGAGGAACAGGAAGGUUGUUGGAUGCUGUAUUGCCAGGUUUCUGAAGGAAACGGGGCCUUCCCAUAUGUUCACUCAGGUAAGAAUUUUUAUUUCACAAGACCACUAGAUAUUGAACUAACACAUCAUUAUGACCUCAGGUAAAGAAAUAUCACCUUCCAAGAUUGCAGUAGCAAAAAUUAUAAUAGAGAAGCAAUCCAACAGUUUUUACUGGAUUUCCCUUCCAGUGCUUGGGGUAAAAAUUGCUUUUAUUACUGCCUGCCUUAUUGUCACUGUGAAUUGAGAUCAAGAUUGAAGAUUCAAAUUGACAUUUGAAAUCAGAGAACAAAAAGAUAAACAAUUUUGUAAAAUAAUGGGAUUUAUUUUAUCAAUGGUUAGAUUAAAUAAAAUAUGGAAAUGAAAUAUGCUAGAGAAUCUUACAAUACAAGGAUAAUGGAAUGAUACAGAUAUAAAGAUGUACUACCAUCAGAUGGAUUUAGGAUGAUGUAAUGAAAUGCCAUAAUAUAAAUUAAUUCAAAAUUCAGAAUAUCUCGC